rnacentral:rRNA from 1 species
UACAGAGGGGGCUAGCGUUAUUCGGAAUUAUUGGGCGUAAAGGGCGCGUAGGCGCCAUGCGUGUCUUCCGUGAAAUCCCUCGGCUUAACUGAGGACGUGCGGAAGAAACUGCAAGGCUUGAGUCCGGGAGAGGGGGUGGAAUUCCCAGUGUAGCGGUGAAAUGCGUAGAUAUUGGGAGGAACACCGGUGGCGAAGGCGGCCCCCUGGACCGGUACUGACGCUGAGGUGCGAAAGCGUGGGGAGCAAACAGG